rnacentral:rRNA from 1 species
CAGUAGCCGCGGGAACACGGAGGGUGCAAGCGUUAUCCGGAUUUAUUGGGUUUAAAGGGUCCGUAGGCGGACUUAUAAGUCAGUGGUGAAAGCCUGUCGCUUAACGAUAGAACUGCCAUUGAUACUGUAAGUCUUGAGUAUAUUUGAGGUAGCUGGAAUAAGUAGUGUAGCGGUGAAAUGCAUAGAUAUUACUUAGAACACCAAUUGCGAAGGCAGGUUACCAAGAUAUAACUGACGCUGAGGGACGAAAGCGUGGGUAGCGAACAGGAUUAGAUACCCCUGUAGUCCCUGUCUCUUAUAC